rnacentral:rRNA from 1 species
GACGAACGCUGGCGGCGUGGAUUAGGCAUGCAAGUCGGACGGUAGGGCUUUAUCGUAAGAUAGAGUUUGAGAGUGGCGAACGGGUGAGUAACACGUAGGAAUCUACCCUUAAGACGGGGACAACCCAGGGAAACUUGGGCUAAUACCGGAUGAGAGUGCGAGAGAUUGCAUUUAAAAGGAUGGCGAAAGUUGUCGCUUAGGGAUGAGCCUGCGGUCUAUUAGUUAGUUGGUGAGGUAAGAGCUCACCAAGGCGAUGAUAGAUAGGCGGCCUUAACGGGUGGUCGCCCACACUGGGAUUGAGAUACGGCCCAGACUCCUACGGGAGGCAGCAGUCGAGAAUAGUCUACAAUGGCCGGAAGGCUGAUAGUGCGACGCCGCGUGAGCGAAGAAGGCCUUCGGUUGUAAAGCUCUGUCUGGAGGGACGAACGAAAAUAGACGGUACCUCCGGAGGAAGCCACGGCUAACUACGUGCCAGCAGCCGCGGUAAGCAUACUCGUAA